GGAGAAAGACAUGGAUGAUGUGGUGAUGAAAACAGCUAUUGGGGUUCUGGGAGAUCUAGCAGAUACUCUGGGCAGUAAUGCUGGUUCAUUGAUUCAACAAUCAUUAUCAAGCAAAGAGUUCUUGAAUGAAUGCUUGUCAUCAGAUGACCAUUUGAUUAAGGAAUCUGCUGAGUGGGCAAAGUUGGCCAUCACUCGUGCCAUUUCAGUUUGAGGUGGCCGCUUUGGUACAUACUUUUUUUUUUAGUAAGUCCAUGCAUGCAUAUGGUUGUGUCCAGUUGGGGUCUGAGAUUGCAUUCAAGAGUCUUGUCAUUGAUGUUAUCUGACAUUGGAGAAAUCUACUCUUGUUGUCGUUAACUCAUGCGCCAGCACCAUGGGUCGAGGUUUUGUUUUGGGGGGGGGGGGCUACUACUCAAAAGUUGAAAGUCCUUCCAUUCAGCAUGUGACUUUGCUGGUGAUGUGUAUUGGGGUCAAAAGGGUCUGCUGUAACUUACUAAAAGGAACUAAUCAGGCUGCUGGUUUGUUGGGUUUUCCGUUGGUCUACUAUCUACUAAGAAGAGGUGUCCCGUAUCAUCCCUGUGCUGCCGUCUUCUCCAAGGGCUUUGAGGGUCAGAAUGUAUAAGGUCAAAGUUUUGGUAGUGCUGAUACUUUAAGCCAAAGCUUCUUUGAUAUUGUCCCAUCUAUUUUUUUUCUUUGGGUCUGUCAGUCAGUCAUUGGUCAAAGCAGCUGCAUUUUCUUUAUUUCAAAUUGCAUACAUCUCAUUCAUUUCUUUUGCAUAUACUGGUCAUGGGGUAACCCACUUGUUUUAAAAUUUUAUAUAGGGCAUUGUGUUUUUGCAUCUUCACAUUUCUCUUUCUGGGUUGUUUUCCGGCAGUAGGUAUUUUUGCACAUCCGUAGCAGAUUGUGCCAUCCAUGAAAGCAUGUAAGCUACCUUUUUUCAUGCUGUUACGAUACAGUUUUUUCCCUCUCCUAAAAGAAAAGGAUCAUGCUUGUGAUCAUAAAUAUAUUUGGUUGCUUUUCGUCGGAAGGCAUGUCAUCAAAGCAAUGGGAAUUGAAGAUCUUCUCUUUAAUAGAUUCACAUGUUGCUGUAUCCAUUGAUUUUCC
rnacentral:misc_RNA from 1 species